rnacentral:rRNA from 2 species
CUGCAGAAGGAUCAUUA